UCCGAAUUGGUGUAGUGGCUAACAUUUGACGCUCUCAUGAUUUCGAUAAAUCUUGGAUCCGUCAAGCCCGGGGUUCGAUUCCCCGAUUCGGAG
rnacentral:tRNA from 1 species